rnacentral:rRNA from 1 species
CCUACGGGUGGCAGCAGUGAGGAAUAUUGGUCAAUGGCCGCAGGGCUGAACCAGCCAAGUCGCGUGAGGGAUGACGGUCCUAUGGAUUGUAAACCUCUUUUGCCAGGGAGCAAAGGGCGCCACGUGUGGCGUGUUGCGAGUACCUGAAGAUAAAGCAUCGGCUAACCCCGUGCAAGCAGCCGCGGUAAUACGGAGGAUGCGAGCGUUAUCCGGAUUUAGUGGGUUAAAAGGGUGUGCAGUGGGAAUGUCAAGUCAGCGGUAAAAUUUUGGGGCUCAACCUCUGCGAGCCGUUGAAACUGGUUUUCUUGAGUGGACGAGAGGUAUGCGGAAUGCGUGGUGUAGCGGUGAAAUGCAUAGAUAUCACGAAGAACUCCGAUUGCGAAGGCAGCAUACCGGAGCUCAACUGACGCUCAUGCACGAAAGUGUGGGUAUCAAACAGGAUUAGAUACCCGAGUAGUC